rnacentral:rRNA from 1 species
UGCCGGCGGCCACCGCUAUUGGAAUUCGCUUAAGACAUGCGAGUCGAGAGGUGCAAGACCUCGGCACACUGCUCAGUAACACGCGGAUAAUCUGCCCUUGGGUGGAGGAUAAUCUCGGGAAACUGAGGAUAAUACUCCAUAGGCCACGGACGCUGGAAUGCUCCAUGGCCGAAAGUUGAGGCGCCCAAGGAUGAGUCUGCGGCCUAUCAGGUUGUAGUGGGUGUAACGGACCCACUAGCCUAUGACGGGUACGGGCGUUGGGAGACGUCGCCCGGAGAUGGGUUCUGAGACACGAACCCAGGCCCUACGGGGCGCAGCAGUCGCGAAAACUUGGCAAUACGGGAAACCGCGACCAGGGAAUUCCAAGUGCUAAUGCUUUGCAUUAGCUGUUCCCCUGCCUAAAAAGCAGGAGAAGUAAGGGCUGGGUAAGACGGGUGCCAGCCGCCGCGGUAAUACCCGCAGCCCGAGUGGUGGUCAUUAUUAUUGAGCCUAAAGCGUCCGUAGCCGGGCUCGUAAAUCCUUGGGUAAAUCGGGCAGCUUAACUGUCCGAAUUCCGAGGAGACUGCGAGCCUUGGGACCGGGAGAGGUUAGAGGUACUCCAGGGGUAAGGGCUAAAUCUUGUAAUCCUUGGGGGACCACCAGUGGCGAAGGCGUCUAACUAGAACGGAUCCGACGGUAAGGGACGAAACCCUGGGGCGCAAUUGUUGGGUGGCAUCGGCCAUCUUUCAGCGCAAACGGGAUUAGAUACCCCGGUAGUCCAGGGCGUAAACGCUGCAGGCUUGGUGUUGGGGGUCCUACGGGGACGCCCAGUGCCGGAGAGAAGUUGUUAAGCCUGCCGCUUGGGGGAGUACGGUCGCAAGACUGAAACUUAAAAGGAAUUGG